GACGAACGCUGGCGGCGUGCUUAACACAUGCAAGUCGAACGAUGAAGAAGAGCUUGCUCUUCGGAUUAGUGGCGAACGGGUGAGUAACACGUGACUAGCCUGCCCCUUUCUCUGGGAUAACGCUCCGAAAGGAGUGCUAAUACCGGAUACUCACAUCGAGGCACAUGCCUUGAUGUGGAAAGUUUUUCGGAAAGGGAGGGAGUCGCGGCCUAUCAGCUUGUUGGUGAGGUAACGGCUCACCAAGGCGACGACGGGUAGCCGGCCUGAGAGGGCGACCGGCCACACUGGGACUGAGACACGGCCCAGACUCCUACGGGAGGCAGCAGUGGGGAAUAUUGCACAAUGGGCGAAAGCCUGAUGCAGCGACGCCGCGUGAGGGAUGAAGGUCUUCGGAUUGUAAACCUCUUUCAGUAGGGACGAAGCGAAAGUGACGGUACCUAAAGAAGAAGCACCGGCUAACUACGUGCCAGCCGCCGCCGUAA
rnacentral:rRNA from 1 species